UACGUAGGGGGCAAGCGUUAUCCGGAUUUACUGGGUGUAAAGGGAGCGUAGGUGGCUCGAUAAGUCAGAAGUGAAAGCCCAAGGCUCAACCUUGGGACUGCUUUUGAAACUAUCGGGCUAGAGUGCAGGAGAGGUAAGUGGAAUUCCUAGUGUAGCGGUGAAAUGCGUAGAUAUUAGGAGGAACACCAGUGGCGAAGGCGACUUACUGGACUGUAACUGACACUGAGGCUCGAAAGCGUGGGGAGCAAACAGG
rnacentral:rRNA from 3 species